rnacentral:lncRNA from 1 species
ACAUUCUCUCCAGGGUCAGAAUAGUGAAUGAACCUAAACUAAAUAAAAACCAAUCUUAAAUGUACCCUCCAUCUAGAAAAAGCUACAUUUCUAGAGAAGUCUGAAUUUCAAUAAGUUUUCAAACUUUCUAGCUGAGUCUUUACUUUUCAUACUUUAAAUACCUGUGGAUAAAUAUUGCAAAGUUUCAUGAAAAUACAACUCUGGUGAA